CAAUAAAGCAGAAACUACUGUCUAACUAGCAGAUGCACUAGACAGUAAAUAUAGCAUGAGCAUCUCCAUCUAAAGUUGCACAUAUUCACAGCUGCACCACUUAAGUUACCUGAUCGACUGAUUAUACAAAGACGCAAGAAUUCCUGAACCACAGGUGAGUUGAAUCUAAAAUAACUUAAUACUAUCAAUAAGAGGGGUAUGAUGUAUGGUUACUCGAAUCAUAGCGACGUGACCUAGAACGGCUAAUGCUAUCAAAAGUGGACCCAAAAACUCUCCGACCACUAUUAUAAUUGAUGCCAUUGAAUUGUGACCCAUAUCCAUUAUGAUGGUGUGUUACACCAGGGGGAACUGGCACUUGGGAAUAAUUGGAAGGAGACGCUGAAACCCUGCAUGUUGCAGACAACCUCAUAGAUUGAUUAGAGAUAUCUACAUUGUUCAUUGGCACAGGGUAUGGCCGUGGCCUGUUAGAUGAAUUUGUCGCAGACAUGGAUCCACUGGGAGGAUUUUGAGAUGGUUUGUCUUGCCCAGAAAUC
rnacentral:misc_RNA from 1 species